GAGUGGCUAGGCCCCUGCUGCAUUGGUGGCCUGGUUACUGUGACUGCUUUGCCAGCCUGAUCCAUGGUUGUUUACUGCCUGGAUCCAGCUGCUCUUUGAGUUAGCCAAUUAGAUCACAAGGACAAACUCAUCCUUGAUGAUCUCAUUGGAUGUGCUGGCUCCCUAGAGUAACUGCAGCAAAGAAAACCAAAGCCAUGUCCACGUUCUAGGGAACAGAUGACGUGGUACGAUGUCAGUCUGAUGGCUUUUCUUGGGAUAGGAGGUGGGCCUGAUGCCCGAGAGAUGUACCCUUCCAUCUCUGUCACAUGCUCUAUUAUUUUAUAGCUACCCUCCUCAAUGUGUUCUGUGUUGAACUGCCACAGUCACCAACUUCCCAGCUUGCCUUGGAUCUAUGCCCCCAAUCCCACAAGACAAGGAAUGGAUUCCAAUUCAAAUUUGAAUCCAAAUCUCUGGUUUCAAUAUUCUGUGAAAGAAACCCCAGGCUGGGCACGAUUAUGACUAUAUUGAAUGAAGCAUCCAGGGAACUAGCAAUAAGACGAUAGGAAGAUGUCCAGUAUGCACUAGGGGAAAUGCAUGCAAAGAUGUGACCUCCAGGAAGUAUAGAAAAAGUGGGAACAGAAGCAGCCUGCCAGGAGAGACAGGAGCUCCUUCAUUCAAGUCUGCCUUCCCAACAAGGCACAUCAGAGUUUGAAAGCUAUUCUCUAGGAUCAAUAAUCACGGUUCAUGUCUCAAAUCCUGGAGUCACCCCACUUACGACAUGCUCAGGUCAAGCCACUUUAGGUCCUCACUGGCAAAUGGGUAGGCAAGUAGAUAGAUGUCAUCCCAGCCGAAGAAGCCCAUGAAACCGAUCAGUCUGAGUCUGGCUCACAGGCUCCAGACGUGUGACUCACAGCUGGGAGUCUGGACUGUCACCACCUGCUCGUAAACCUUUACCCCAGUCACC
rnacentral:lncRNA from 1 species